AUGAACGCUGGCGGCGUGCCUAAUACCUGCCAGUCGAGCGAACGGACGAGAAGCUUGCUUCUCUGAUGUUAGCGGCGGACGGGUGAGUAACACGUGGAUAACCUACCUAUAAGACUGGGAUAACUUCGGGAAACCGGAGCUAAUACCGGAUGAUAUUUUGAACCGCAUGGUUCAAAAGUGAAAGACGGUCUUGCUGUCACUUAUAGAUGGAUCCGCGCUGCAUUAGCUAGUUGGUAAGGUAACGGCUUACCAAGGCAACGAUGCAUAGCCGACCUGAGAGGGUGAUCGGCCACCUUGGAACUGAGACACGGUCCAGACGCCUAAGGGAGGCAGCAGUAGGGAAUCUUCCGCAAUGGGCGAAAGCCUGGCGGAGCAACGCCGCGUGAGUGAUGAAGGUCUUCGGAUCGUAAAACUCUGUUAUUAGGGAAGAACAUAUGUGUAAGUAACUGUGCACAUCUUGACGGUACCUAAUCGGAAAGCCACGGCUAACUACGUG
rnacentral:rRNA from 1 species